UACGAAGGGGGCUAGCGUUGCUCGGAAUUACUGGGCGUAAAGCGUGCGCAGGCGGUUUCUUAAGUCAGAUGUGAAAGCCCCGGGCUUAACCUGGGAACUGCGUUUGAAACUGGGAGACUUGAGUGUGGCAGAGGGGGGUGGAAUUCCACGUGUAGCAGUGAAAUGCGUAGAUAUGUGGAGGAACACCGAUGGCGAAGGCAGCCCCCUGGGUUAACACUGACGCUCAUGCACGAAAGCGUGGGGAGCAAACAGG
rnacentral:rRNA from 1 species